GUGGGCGGGGGGCACUUUGUCUGGCCCGGCCCGGCCCGCGCGGCCGAGGUGGCAUUGGCACCGCGUGGCCGGCGCGAGCGCACGUGGUCGGCGGGUGCUCCCCGCAAGGCCGCGGCCUUGGCUAGACCCUUCUCCCCCCCCGGGCUCGUGCUACGUGUGUCCCCGCAGCCCUGCGCGGCGCUCGGCUCAGCCGGGGCGGGCGGGGGCUCGGGCUGGGAGCGGCGCGGCCUCGCGUCUCGGGGGCUCCGAGCGGGGCGGGGGGGUCAGUGUCGCACCGCCCUGUUCGCCGCUGGCCAGCAGUGAAGCGCGGGCCAAGGGCCGAGCCCAGCCCCGCUGCCUGUGGGCAGCUGGUGGGAGAGGUCGGUUGCGGGAGCAGCCCCUCACUCCCUCCCCCCCUUCGUAGGGCAGCUAUCCGUACCAGUGUUCAUUCACACCGGUGUGUUCUUAAUGCAGGAGCUUGAGUUGACCUGCUGUCUGUCUGCUUUGUUUAAGGGUAUUUGCAGCUGUGAAGGGAUCAACGUUCACAAAGGCGCUCUGGUGGCAGAGAGGGUUUUUGGAAAAUUGAGGCUCAACAGGUAGAAGCCUAUUCAUAUUAUUUUUUCUACGGAGUGAUACAGAGACAUCCACUAGUUGUCUGAGGAAAAGGAAGGAAUAAAUGUUGCUGUUCUUAAGACCUGCAAACUUAAGAGAUGCAGGGAGAUAAGAGUACAUGAAGAGGACUACCCCUGUGUAUGCAAGGUUCAGGUGUAGCAAGAUGAAACAUAAAAACAGCCAAACCAUCUUGCUGUGUGCUCCAGACUCAAAUGAGGAAGCUGCUGGUCUCUGCUCUACUGAAGAUCGGGUUCAAGUUCCCUUUCCCCCUAAACUCUGGAAGAAUCAAUUGUUCAGUCAGAUGAUGAAACUGGACAAAAUGUGCCUAAUGAGGCAGAAGUUGGUUCCUUGUUCCCAGUUCCUUAUUCCUUUUUCAAAGCUAGUCUUUACACAAUUAAAGGCUGUUAAUAACUAAUAAAUUCCAAAGGCUAAAGA